rnacentral:rRNA from 1 species
UACGAAGGGGGCUAGCGUUGCUCGGAAUCACUGGGCGUAAAGGGUGCGUAGGCGGGUCUUUAAGUCAGGGGUGAAAUCCUGGAGCUCAACUCCAGAACUGCCUUUGAUACUGAAGAUCUUGAGUUCGGGAGAGGUGAGUGGAACUGCGAGUGUAGAGGUGAAAUUCGUAGAUAUUCGCAAGAACACCAGUGGCGAAGGCGGCUUACUGGUCCGGUUCUGACGCUGAGGCGCGAAAGCGUGGGGGAGCAAACAGGG